UACGGAGGGUGCAAGCGUUAUCCGGAUUCACUGGGUUUAAAGGGUGCGUAGGCGAGUAAGUAAGUCCGUGGUGAAAUCUCUGAGCUUAACUCAGAAACUGCCGUGGAUACUAUUUGCCUUGAAUAUUGUGGAGGUGAGCGGAAUAUGUCAUGUAGCGGUGAAAUGCUUAGAUAUGACAUAGAACACCAAUUGCGAAGGCAGCUCACUACACAAUCAUUGACGCUGAGGCACGAAAGCGUGGGGAUCAAACAGG
rnacentral:rRNA from 1 species